CCUGCCUCAGCCUCCUGAGUAGCUGGGACUACAGGCAAGGGCCACCACGCCUGGCUAAUUUUUUUUUUUUUUAACUUUUUUGUAGAGACAAGAGUCUUUGCUAUGUUGUCCAGGCUGUAGUCCUGUGGCUGUGCACAGAUUCUGAAAAAGAGUUCCACGUCCUCCCUUAUCGAGUCUUUGUUCCCCUUCCUGGAUCCACUGUAAUGUUGUGUGAUUAUAAAUUUGACGAUGAGUCAGCUGAAGAAAUCAGGGACCAUUUUAUGGAGAUGUUGGAUCACACAAUUCAAAUAGAAGAUUUGGAAAUUGCAGAGGAAACAAACACAGUCUAGUAUAGAGAUGGAUUAACAGUAGGAAGAGUUUAAUAUUACAAGAACAAAGGAAGCAAAACAGCAAUUUGGAAAGUUUAGCUUGUAUGAGUUCUUCUAUGAAUAGUCAAGCUUCAUUGGACAACACAGAUGAUGAACAACCAAAACAACCAAUUAAAACUACAAUGUUAUUGAAAAUUCAGCAAAACAUAGGUGUGAUUGCAGCAUUUACAGUUGCAGUCCUUGCUGCGGGUAUCUCCUUUCAUUACUUCAGUGAUUAGGGUUCACUGGAAGUAGGAGAAUUUUCAAGAACCAUACUUCGACAUUUCCUCUGCCACAAAAAAUGAACGCAUUUUAAGUUAGGAGUCAUGAAUACUGUAUUGACCAUACAAGUGGAUUAUGGUUGUCUGGAUGGCAGAUACCAAUAGCAACAUUGUCAUAUGCAGUUUGCCUCAAAUCAGAAACAAGAAGACAUCGGAAUCUGAGAUGCUGCCCUAGAGAGGACAGUUAAAGAAGGUUCAGUGGUCCUCAGUUUGCAGUGCUCUAGCUCCUGGCAGAAGCAAGAGGGAAACAUUCCUAAUUUAGUUCCAAGAUUCCUACAGAUUAUUAUCAAGUAGUAGUAUUUUAUGACUAGAGAUCACAGGCACAAGUUGAAACAAACUAACAUGACAAGAAAGCUAUAGAAAAAAUAAACAUUGAACUCAGUUCUUCAAGGUUUCAUCACCAACAUAAGGAAUGAAGUUGGAACCACAGGCAGAUCUGAAAAAGAACCAAAUAGAGCUCCUAAAAAUGAGAAAUAUUUAUUGAAAUAAGAAAAAAGCCCUCAGACAUGUUGAAUAUUUUAUUAGACUCAGCUGAAGAGACAAGUGAACUAAACUAUAAGCUGGAUCUAAAGAAAUUACCCAGUGAGCAGUGAGGAGAAACAAGGAGCUAGAAAACAUUGGAAAGUUAAGAGAGUUCGAGGGAAGAAUUAUAAAGACUAGGAGUCCUAGAAAGAGAAAAUUUAGAGAAUAAAGGAGAGGCAGUACUUGAAAGAUAACACAAUUUUACAAAUUUGUUGGAAAAACAUGAAUUCAUAAAUUCAGGAAGCACAAUAUAUACCAAACAUAUAUUUAAAUAAAAUCCAGGCCUAGACUCAAGGUAUUGUAAAUGACAAGAUACCAAAUACAAGAUUUUAAAAGCAACCAUGGGGAGAAAAAGAUCAGUGAAAGCAAGACAGUCAAAUACUUAGUAGGCUUCCUAACAGCAACAAUGUACCCAAAAGAGGGUAGAAUUCUGAGAAAAACUAUUAGCUUAGAAUUUGCAACAAGCGAAACUGAAACAAACAGAUGCUCAGAUGAAAAACAGAUGUUAUCCUCAGCACAAAUUCAGUAAAGAGACUACAAAAGGAUGAUCUUCAAGAAGGGAAAUGAUUCUAAAAGGAUUAUCUGAAAUUGAAAAACUAGUAAGCAAAUAAAUGAUAAACAUAAGUAAAUUUAAACUGUUGUUUGUAUAAAACAAUUAUAAUGAAGUGUUUAUAAGAAAUUGUAAACAAAUGUAAAACUAAAUAAACAUUGUUAUGCAACAUUAA
rnacentral:lncRNA from 1 species